rnacentral:rRNA from 1 species
GACGAACGCUGGCGGCGUGCUUAACACAUGCAAGUCGAACGGGGCACCCCUGAAGGAGUUUUCGGACAACGGAUGGGAAUGCUUAGUGGCGGACUGGUGAGUAACGCGUGAGGAACCUGCCUUUCGGAGGGGGACAACAGUUGGAAACGACUGCUAAUACCGCAUGAUACAUCGAAGUCGCAUGGCUUUGAUGUCAAAGAUUUAUCGCCGAAAGAUGGCCUCGCGUCUGAUUAGCUUGUUGGUGAGGUAACGGCUCACCAAGGCGACGAUCAGUAGCCGGCCUGAGAGGGUGAACGGCCACAUUGGGACUGAGACACGGCCCAA